CCAAUAGCGUAUAUUAAAGUUGUUGCAGUUAAAAAGCUCGUAGUUGAAUUUCGGGGCCAGUAGGUUGGUCGUGCCACUGGUAUGUACUGGCCUUACUGGUCCCUCCUUCUUGUAGAACCGUGAUGCCAUUAAUUUGGUGUUGCGGGGAAACAGGACUGUUACUUUGAAAACAUUAGAGUGCUUAAAGCAGGCUCGCGCUUGAAUACAUUAGCAUGGAAUAACGGCAUAGGACGAUCGAACCUAUUUUGUUGGUUUAUAGGAUCGACGUAAUGAUUAAUAGGGAUAGUUGGGGGCAUUAGUAUUCAAUUGUCAGAGGUGAAAUUCUUGGAUUUAUUGAAGACUAACUACUGCGAAAGCAUUUGCAAAGGAUGUUUUCAUUAAUCAAGAACGAAAGUUAGGGGAGCGAAGACGAUCAGAUACCGUCGUAGUCUUAACCAUAAACUAUGCCGACUAGGGAUCGGAUGAAGUUAAUUUUUUAAUGACUCAUUCGGCGCCUUACG
rnacentral:rRNA from 1 species